rnacentral:rRNA from 1 species
UACGUAGGGGCCUAGCGUUGUCCGGAUUUAUUGGGCGUAAAGAGCACGUAGGCGGCAAGGUAUGUCGGGUGUGAAAUCCCUCGGCCUAACCGAGGAAUUGCGCCCGAAACUACCGUGCUUGAGGAUGGAAGGGGAGCGUGGAAUUCCUGGUGGAGCGGUGAAAUGCGUUGAUAUCAGGAGGAACACCGGCGGCGAAGGCGACGCUCUGGUCCAUUACUGACGCUGAGGUGCGAAAGCCAGGGGAGCAAACGGG